UAAGUUUUCAUAUAUUAUUCAAUUCGUAUAGUUAUCUUGGUUGUCUUGUUUCUUUAGUAUGUUUUAUGUUUGAAGUUUGAGUCUUUCUUGUGAUUGACAAAUAGGAGGGAGGUGAUGAGGAAGAUACAAUAAUAAGGGUUUAUUUCCAUAUGAGUUGUUUGUGAAGCUUUUUAACUCAAAAAAGGUUGAAUUACGUCCAUUUGGCCUCACAAAUUGCGGGAACAGUUGUUAUGCUAAUGCUGUCCUUCAGUGCCUAGCGUUUACUCCACCCUUCACGGCUUACUUCCUUCAAGGCUUCCAUUCAAAAGGAUGUGCAAAGAAAGAUUGGUGUUUCAACUCUGAAUUUGAGAGUUUAGUUCUAAAAGCAAAGAAUGGGAAUUCUCUGCUCUCCCCUAUCCGGAUAAUUUCCCAUUUGGAGAAUAUUGGGAGCAGUCUUGGUAAUGGGAGAGAAGAAGAUGCUCAUGAAUUUCUCAGGUAUGUCAUUGAGACCAUGCAAUCUGUUUGCUUAAAGGAAGCAGGUGUCCGUACAUCAUGCUCUUUGGAAGAGCAGACAAGUCUCAUUGGGCUUACAUUUGGGGGCUUCCUUCGUUCAAAGAUUGAGUGCAUGAGCUGUGGAGGCAAAUCUGAGAGGCAUGAAAGAAUAAUGGACCUUAUAGUUGAAUUGAUG